rnacentral:rRNA from 1 species
AGCGAACGCUGGCGGCAGGCUUAACACAUGCAAGUCGAGCGGGCACUUUCGGGUGUCAGCGGCGGACGGGUGAGUAACGCGUGGGAACGUGCCCUCUGGUUCGGAAUAACUCAGGGAAACUUGAGCUAAUACCGGAUACGCCCUUUUGGGGAAAGGCUUGCUGCCGGAGGAUCGGCCCGCGUCUGAUUAGCUAGUUGGUGAGGUAACGGCUCACCAAGGCGACGAUCAGUAGCUGGUCUGAGAGGAUGAUCAGCCACACUGGGACUGAGACACGGCCCAGACUCCUCCGGGAGGCAAGAGUGGGGAAUUUUGGAAAAUGGGGGCAAGCCUGACCCAGCCAGGCCGGGGGAGUUAUGAAGGCUUUGGGGUUGAAAAGCUUUUUUUCCCGGGACGAUAAUGGCGGUACCGGAGGAAAAAGCCCCGGCGAACUUCGU